rnacentral:rRNA from 1 species
UACGAAGGGGGCUAGCGUUGUUCGGAUUUACUGGGCGUAAAGCGCGUGUAGGCGGGUUUGUAAGUUGGGGGUGAAAGCCCAGAGCUCAACUCUGGAAUUGCCUUCAAGACUGCAAGCCUGGACCCAAGGAGAGGCAAGUGGAAUUGCGAGUGUAGAGGUGAAAUUCGUAGAUAUUCGCAGGAACACCAGUGGCGAAGGCGACUUGCUGGACUUGUGGUGACGCUGAGACGCGAAAGCGUGGGGAGCAAACAGG